rnacentral:rRNA from 1 species
AGGGUGUAAACGCUGCAGACUUGGUGUCGGGGGCCCUUUGGGGCAUUCAGUGCCGGAGAGAAGUUGUUAAGUCUGCUACUUGGGGAGUACGUCCGCAAGGAUGAAACUUAAAGGAAUUGCGGGGAGCACCGCAACGGGAGGAGCGUGCGGUUUAAUUGGAUUCAACACCGUAAAACUCACCAGGGAAGACUGUUACAUGAAGGCCGAGAUGAAGACUCUGCUAGAUUUUCAGAGAGGUGGUGCAUGGCGUCAGUGACU